rnacentral:rRNA from 1 species
CAUGCUGGUGGAUUAGUGGCGAACGGGUGAGUAACACGUGAGUAACCUGCCCUUGACUCUGGGAUAAGCCUGGGAAACUGGGUCUAAUACCGGAUAUGACCUUCCAUCGCAUGGUGGUUGGUGGAAAGCUUUUGUGGUUUUGGAUGGACUCGCGGCCUAUCAGCUUGUUGGUGGGGUAAUGGCCUACCAAGGCGACGACGGGUAGCCGGCCUGAGAGGGUGACCGGCCACACUGGGACUGAGACACGGCCCAGACUCCUACGGGAGGCAGCAGUGGGGAAUAUUGCACAAUGGGCGCAAGCCUGAUGCAGCGACGCCGCGUGAGGGAUGACGGCCUUCGGGUUGUAAACCUCUUUCAGUAGGGAAGAAGCGUAAGUGACGGUACCUGCAGAAGAAGCGCCGGCUAACUACGUGCCAGCAGCCGCGGUAAUACGUAGGGCGCAAGCGUUAUCCGGAAUUAUUGGGCGUAAAGAGCUCGUAGGCGGUUUGUCGCGUCUGCCGUGAAAGUCCGGGGCUCAACUCCGGAUCUGCGGUGGGUACGGGCAGACUAGAGUGAUGUAGGGGAGACUGGAAUUCCUGGUGUAGCGGUGAAAUGCGCAGAUAUCAGGAGGAACACCGAUGGCGAAGGCAGGUCUCUGGGCAUUAACUGACGCUGAGGAGCGAAAGCAUGGGGAGCGAACAGGAUUAGAUACCCUGGGUAGUCCAUGCCGUAAACC